CCCUAUAAGAUGUGGCUAUGGAUGUUUGAGUAACAACAUUUUUUUACUGGCAGAGGGAUAUAGGAGGUCUUAUAAAUUUUGGACCUGCUUUGAAAGGGGGAAAGGAAGCUGUUGUUGCAACAGAUUUGUCAGUGUUUAACUAGGGGUGACACUGUGUGUUUUUGUCCUGUCUUUAAUUCACAUUUUUUUUCAGUGUUUAGUUUUGUCUCUCUUUAAUUUUUUUUCAUUUGGGUUUUGUAUUUUAACCUUUUCAAUAAAAAAUAAAAUAGUUUUGUUUUGUUGUUUAAAAGGAGACCUUCGGCUGGUAUGUCAGGGGUGCAAUUCGGAAAUGGGCCCAGGGCAAAAUUAUAUUUGGUUAAUUAAACGUCACAGUAGAUUACUUAAACAUUGUUAAUCAGAUUGUUCCCGUAUAUUGGAUAACUCCCCCACUCGCUGGUUAUUUUUGGUUGCAGGUUUUGGAGGAAGCCUGCCAGCUUCUCCCACAGAUUUCCCACCUACUAGCUUCAGCAAAGAGAGGAGGAAAGGAGCUGUUCUAGGAGAGGGGUGGCUGAACUGGGAAAAGAGGGCAGGAGGAGGAUUCUGGCCAAGGUGUGUUUUUAACACAAUCAUUGUGGAAGCUAUUGUGUGACGUUACCCAUGUCACAGGAACAUGAGGUCUCCCGUGGUUAAGAGGCUAGGUUGGAGGUUAUCAAGCCCUGCCAUAGGGCAGGGUGAGCUCUCAUCUUUCGUUCCAGUUUCUGCUGGGGGACAUAAAAGGAUCCCCCCAACUAGGCAUCCCCACCCCCAGCGACAGUGAUGUCACUGGCUCAUCCUUUCAACCUUGAAGUGCUUCUAACACAAGUGUAAAAAAAACCCUCAAAAACAUCAAGUCAGAGGUGAACAAAUUACAUGCCUCAGCUUGUGAGUAUGCCCAAAAGGAACGGAGCAUCGGAGGUGCUCGUUGUUAGCUUAAGGAGUGAGCAAGUCGGAAACAGAACAUCGGAAGAGUAAAAAGAUAAAGAGGGAAGGGCACUUAAGAGCAUGCAGGAAUCUGCUCAAUCCAGAAGCCAGCUUCCAGGUAAACCAGUCCUACAAGAAAUGGCAUUCUGCAUCAAAGAGGCAACGAAUGAGAAAUCCACUGAACCAACUCAAAAAUGACAACAGAUACAUGUAUUAUUUCUUUUUGGCAUUUUUAAUCUGGCACUCUACAGUUUGGAUUGAAACUGCAGGUAAGGCGUCACACUUCCAACUUAACUGGAUGUAUACCAAAGAGACUUUCGCCUUCAGGUGUGUAGCCAAUCUUUUUCUUUUCUUUCUUUCUUUUUAAAAAAACACACCGUUACUUAUUGUAGUGCGUUCCAUUGUUAUUUGAUAACAGAAUAAAUGCACACAACUAUAGAUCUUACUUCACUACUCCAGGGCUGGCUACUAAAACAUUCAGUCAAUCUAAAGGCUACUAACUCCCAGAGAGUUUUCUUCAAUUUUUUUUUGCUAUUCUACACACUCCAGCCACUGCAUUUCUUACUCUAGUGCAAAAAGGGACCAAACAGCUUUUACAAAUAAGACCUUUUAAACUUUUUUUUUUUUAAAUAAAGAAGCUACAUGAGAAAAUACUGUUAGAGGCAAAGGAAUAUCAGAUGGAUUCUAGGAAAUCUUCCUGGGAAUAAUUCCUUAUUUUGACUUGGGCUCUUUGCAGGCACAAUCAUAGGUGAAUAUUGAACUUACAUACAUGUGAACACUACCCCCGUUUUCUUACAAGCCCUAGUGUGCAAGAAGGGGCGUCUUUUCAGUGGAGUCUUCACGGUAUUGAAAGAGACCAAUUUUCCUGUGACUUAACACUGUCGCCUUAUAUUUUGUAGCCUUAACACCCAUACUAUCUAACACUUUUCUAGUUUCUGAGGUGCCAACUAGUGAAGCUGGAGCCCCUUUCUUUUAUUUAUCUAAUUGCAACUUUUAUAAGGACAUGGGGUUAAACAGGCCAACUCUCCGAAUUAGUGUUCGCUUUCAAUAUUAUCUUUCAAUGUUAUGAAAUAUUUCAAUAUUAUCUAACUGAAAGAACAUCAAACGCGUAUUUAUUUUGACCAUCUUACUUUAUCACAACUCAGGUCCUGUUAUUUGUCUGGCCCUUGUAAUCUACCUGCUUAAUCUACCUCUACUUCAGCCUAGAAUCAAAGAGUUGAGCUUGAGUCAAAGGGUGACAGCUUUGGAAUGACAGUAUAGAAAUAAAAAUAGAAACUCUGGGACAAAUUAAAUUUUAAUUGAUAUCCAGGAGGGUAUUAAUACUGUUAAUUUCCCCUUUCUUAAAUCUUGAGGGCAGGACUCUUGAUGGAUUAUGUAGAAAACAUAAGUGAAUGUUUACCAUAUUUGCAUUUCAAGAGAUUUUUAGUCACGCAAGUGACUGCUUGUUUGUUUUUUGCCAAUGUAUUUGCACAGAACAGUCAAGCGACCAGAGUCCAGCUCAAGACUUAAGAUAUCUUGAGAUCUGUGCAACAAAUCAAAACAUCUGGAAGAUUGGAACCAGCAUCCCUACAUCCAUUGGGAAAACAGAAAAUACCACCUGGGUUGGUGUCAGAAACAGUCAUAUGAACUCUUUUUUCAUAUAAAUUGUAAUCGGGGCAGCUAAUUAUUUUGUCUUCUUUUUUCCUCCAAAGCUCUUCCCAUAUAAUAAAGCCAGAUAAAAUACUAUACAACUUUUCUCAAGCUGCAGAUAUGCAGGAGCAAAAAACAAAAAACUAAACAAUCAAAAACAUAAAACAGACCACCUUCCCAAACUGGCUUACAAUUAAUUUCUGGCUCAUUUAAACUGAAAGCAAGUGCCUCUUAAGCAGGAGGUUUUUGGUAAGAUAAUACCCAUUCAAAUGAGCCACCUGUCUUGUCACAUCAACAGUAAAUGUAAAAAUUGGGCAUUUUACUGUGAUCCAUCGAAACUAGCCAUAUGGAUAAUUCGGUCUCUCCUCUACAUCAUGCCUCUAGAGCCCACGUUAUUUCUGGAAAGACAUUCUUCUUCCAGUUUCUGUUCUUUCCUUUGUGCUAGAUCUUUCCAUACUAACUUUGGCGCAGGUGGCCAAGCAAAUGUAUAUCUUCUAAAAUAGUUUUUAAAAAGCAUCGGCGUGAAAGUCAUUCCAUUUGUUCCAGAUGUGGCCUGUGCAACUAACUGGCAAAACGGAUUCCCCACCCUUACUCACAACAGCCCAAGAGCCCUCCCAAAAAAAUAAAAAAGGCUACCAAGUUGGUUGGGGCUAUCCUUGAUCACUGUAAGUUCUGCUGGAGUUGAAACUAAGUAUCUCCAAACUUUGGGUGGAAGCCCUAUUUGUGAGUGCAUUUCUACUUAAGAAAAAAAGAAAAUAAAUCCCUCUCCCCCACUUCCUUGACUAUCAAGGUCUCUAACCCUAAGAUAUUUUUUUCUAUAAUACAGCUAUAAAGAUAAUGCGUGUGUGUGUGUGUGUGUGUGUGUGUGUGUGUGUGUAACUCUGACUGCUCUGCCUUCUGCAACACAGAAAGUUCUAGAACAGGGGUCUCCAACCUUGAUCCCUUUAAGACUUGCGGACUUCAACUCCCAAAGUCCCUCAGCCAGCUUUGCAAGUCUUAAAGGGACCAAGGUUGGAGACCCCUGCUCUAGAAGAGCCUGGUUUCACUCUCUUGCAAAGGUGAGUUUGUGUAAAAAAAAUAAUAAUUCUCAGGAACGCAUGUGGGAUACAAUCCCCCCUGACUUGUCUAUAGUGGUGCUGAUUCUACCUGUGCCAGGUGUAGUUUUCACCUCAGCUAAAUAAAUAUAUAAAUAAAGGUAAAGCUGGGAAAGGAGUGACAGUCUCCCAGCCAACUCUGGGCUGACUGGAAGGACUAGAAACAAAAGAACCCUGGACAGAUUAGUCAUUGAUUGAAUCAUCCCAGCUCAGGUGUUGCUGAUGUGCAAGAUGAGGCAAUGGGAUGGUUUGAUCAGACUCUAAACAGCAUUUUUGAACAACUGGAAGGGCUACUGAGGGAAGGAAAUGAAUAUCGUAAAUAAUAAGAAAGGAAAAGCAAGAAAUAAAUAUUACAAUUAUUAUAAGCUAGUGUUUAUAACACCAGUUUGAUUGCACCUGCUUGAAAAAUGGAUCCAAACAGAAAAUUUGAGGUAAUCUGCAAGAUAGGACCUAUGUUGAAGAUGAGUUAGUUCAUUUGGCUGGAAGCCAAAUCAAAUUUGCCACUAAGUUAGUGUAUGGUGGCUGGUUAAAUCGAUUAAAAAAUGUGUUCUUAUAGCACAUAUAGUGAAUGAGAAUGAAUGUUCAAACUGACUCUGUUACAUAAAACUAUCAAGAUAACAUUUUAAAAUGACGGGAAAUGACAAUUGUGAUUGUAUCAGCAAAUUCUAAAGUCAGCAUCUUUCAGCAAAAAGAAACUUCCCUCUCAUUAAAAAAAAUAUCUAGAAAGAGUCAUAAACUUGUGUGAUUUUGCAAUAAGUGAAAUCUUAGCAGGCAACUACAAUAUCAGAAUACUGGCUAGAGAAACCAAGCACAAAAGAAACCCCAUCUUUAACCUGGCAACCUUUAACCCUAAUGAAGUCCAAAAGAGAAUCUUGAGGAAGUUUUCUUUUUCAUUUGGAAGUCAUCUCAAAGUAAGAUAUAAAAUAAAUAAUACUCAAAAACUACUGAAGAAAAUACUGCUCCCAUCUGGUCAGCUAUAUAGAUAGAUAGAUAGAUACAGCAUGCCUACAUACAGAAAAUCAUGUGGCGCUGUCAUUUACAAACAGGAAAUAAAGCAGUGUGGUAAUAGAAGCUUUAAAUAUUCCAAGUGUGUGUAGAUAAUUUUUCUGAGACUUAAAUCCCCCACACACAAAAAAAGAAGGAAACAAGAACAGAGAGAGAGAGAGAGAAAAAAAAAAAUCAAAU